rnacentral:rRNA from 1 species
UACAGAGGUCUCAAGCGUUGUUCGGAUUCAUUGGGCGUAAAGGGCGCGUAGGCGGCGGGGUAAGUCGGGUGUGAAAUCUCAGAGCUCAACUCUGAAACUGCACUCGAUACUGCUCUGCUUGAGGACUGGAGAGGAGACUGGAAUUCACGGUGUAGCAGUGAAAUGCGUAGAUAUCGUGAGGAAGACCAGUGGCGAAGGCGGGUCUCUGGACAGUUCCUGACGCUGAGGCGCGAAAGGCCAGGGGAGCAAACGGG